rnacentral:lncRNA from 1 species
UUUUUUAAUCAAAAGUGAAAACAAGAAAUGAAAACAAUUUCUUUUCCCAAGCCAAACAACUACUAAUUAUUCCAAAUCUUACCCUUGCCGUCAAAAUACAGUCGACAUCCAAACAUGCAAAGAAAAAUGCUCUUAAAAUUAAUUAAAUCCCCAAAAGUCUAGGAAGUUAAUGCACAGUAAAGUGUAAACUAUAUGACAACAAAUGUACACGGAUUAUGCAGGGAGACUGAAGGUAACUAUCGAAACUGUAAAAGAGUAUAAUAAUAUAAUUAAGUUCAAGAUUAACAACACAGUCAAAAUAGACACUAAAAGGAAAGCAUAAUGUAAAGGCUCACCAGGGUCACGAAGCUCAUCAGGAUCAGCCAAUGAAUGUCCUCUAAAUCUAUAGGUCUCACAUUCUAUCAGAGUUGGUCCCUCUCCUCGCCUAGCUCUCCCAAUUGCUUCCUUUGCCACUUCUCGUACCUUCAAAACGUCCAUCCCGUCAACAUGAACCCCGGGCAUUCCAAAUGCUGGACCUUUCUUCCAUAUCUGAGGAUCUGAAGUUGCCCUUAGAUGCGACAUUCCAAUAGCCCACAAAUUGUUCUCCACCACAAACACAAUAGGCAAUUUCCAUAAAGCUGCCAUGUUUAGGCAUUCAUAGAACUGUCCAUUAUUACACGUUCCAUCUCCAAAAAAUGCCAAUGUCACAUAAUCAGCAUCUGCCUGUUUCAAUACCUCCCUUUUAUACUUACUGGAAAAUGCUGCUCCAGUGGCCACAGGAAUUCCUUCCCCAAUAAAAGCAAACCCACCGAUCACAUUAUGUUCUUUCGAGAACAUGUGCAUAGAUCCACCUUGACCCCGGCAGCAUCCAGUGGCCUUACCAAAGAGCUCACUCAUCACAGCACGCGCCGGAACCCCCUUACUGAGUGCAUGAACAUGGUCUCGAUAAGUGCUCACAACAGAGUCUUCUUUCUUAAGAAGCUUGAUGAAUCCAGUUGACACAGCUUCUUGGCCAUUAUACAAGUGAACAAAACCAAACAUUUUUCCUCUGUAAUACAUCUGAGCACACAUGUCUUCAAAAGACCUGCCUAAUAUCAUGUCUUCAUAGAUAACCAAACCUUCCUCCUUGGUAAUUAGCUGCACGCACAAACAAAUCAAAAUAAAAAACAGCACACUCAAAAUUCUCAUCUGUAAUCCAAAGCUAAAUGGGCAAGUAGCAGCAUAACAAUAUCUCUCCUUUUCUCGUCUCACAUAUCACAAAAGACACGUGACAUACAUACACCACCAAAUUGUGAAGUAUCUAAACAAAUGAAAUAUAACAUUGAGAACCUGUUUGGAUUGGCUUAAUCAAACUUAUCCACUGACCUAAGUUUUAUGAGACGGUUCGAGAGAAUUUACGAAAACAGCCUAUGCCAUUUUUCAUAACCUUUUUUUCCGCUAAAUUUCAUUAGUUUUUCAAGAUAGCUUAUUAUGAAAAUAAAUUAUAACAUAUAUAUAAAGACAAAUCUAACAUUAUUUUAUCUUUUUAUAUAAAAAUAACUUAUAGAAUCAUAUACAUAAGCCUCUAAUCAUGACAAGAGCUUGUGCUAUAUGCUCCAAACAAUCUAUUUAGUGUAUGUUUGGUUUAGCUUUUGGAAGAAUCCAAACCAAUUCUAGAGGUGUAGUGUUGAUUUUGAGGUGUUUGAUUCUUCUGAGGUAGAAUUAAUUCUUCCUACAUAAUUGAUUCUAAAAUUUGUAGCUUUUGAGUUUAAACUUGAUUUUUACAUUGAAAUUUUACAUAAAGUUAUCCAAACAUAAAUCUCUUUAUAUUCAGUUCAAUUUUAACCAUAAUCAAUUUUUUUCACCAGAAUCAAACGUCCAAACAUACGCUUAUUCAAUCAGGGUUGAGAGCUUUUCAAAAUCAAAAAAACAGGUUAUGAAGAAUCCAUGCUACAUUGAAGAAAUUAACAAGUCAAGAUUAAAAAAACAGAUAAGAAAAUGGAUAAAGUACCAAAUUGGAGGGUGAAGUGAGAGUGUUGGUCUUGAGAGCAUCGGAGACGGAGGCAACGAUGGAGGUCUGGUUGGAAAGCCUAAUUGGAGAAAUGGAGUGAAAUUUGCGAGUGGAUCCGAAGAAAGGUGUGAGUGUGGGAGAAGGAAGAAUAGGGUUAGCAUUGGAUCUGAGAGGGAGAGAAAGAUUGGGUGUUGUGGAGAACACAGACAUUGUAAUCAAUGGAAUGAGAAAGAGAAAGAGAAGAGAAGAAGAAAAGGUUAUUAGUAGUGUAUUAUUGUUUAGAGUCAAGAGAGAAAAUGGGCGGAGGGAACAAGAAAAAGGUGGAAAUCACCGUCAAGUGCAUUGGCAAUUUCUCAUUUCAUUUUCACUCUUACUUCACCUAUGUAACUAUGUUUUCAUGUCUUAGUUCAUUUAAGAAAUUAAAUAGACACAAUACUCAACUAACUUUGCCUACAACCAAUUCAAUUUCUUCACUCUAAAAACCAAUUCAAUAGUGUCUUUGAAUUUUUUAAAAAUUGAUUUAAAUUUUUUAUGGCAGAAGAGAUGAAUAGAUAAAUAACAAAAUAAAAGAGAUAAAUGAUAAAAAUAUUACAUCGGAGAUUUUAUCCUGUUUCGGCCUAAAUCAUUUAAAAUUUUCACUACAACAAUCUUGAGCUUUUAUACAUGAUCAACGCAGACAACUUUACAAACAAUUCGACCUUCUGAACAAGAUCAAUCUAUAAACCUUCUACAAACUACCAAGGUUUUUACAUAUGAUCAACUCAAUAUUUGUUGUGUUAUUUAUAUGUGCAAGUACACACACUAAAAAAUAGUAGCAAGUGAUGUAAAAGUAAGAGUAUCGAUCCCACAGUGAGUGAUUGAAAUAAUCUAAAUUGAUUCUCAUAAUAAAACUUUGUGAAUAGCCAUGAGCAAAAAGGUAACAAUAAUAAUAGGUUGUCACAUGUUCAUGUUGAAUAAUAAUAAGUGAUAAUAAAGAAGUUAAAUUAAUAGUGAGAGUCAUGUUGAGUAAUUAUUCGAUUAAUGAAGUUCAUAUAUUAUGUGAUGAGAUAUAUCGUGACAGAUGAGGUGGAAAGUAAUCUAGUGUUGUAUGUCUACAAUAUCAAAGCAUGUGCGUUAAUUCAAGUGAACAACUCUCGAGGUCUCACAAUAAUAUUAAAGCAUGUAUAUUUUUAACUUUUGAUAUUCCCUAUGAUUGUAGUCAUUUAUCUCUAAAGUGUUGAAAUUAAAAUGUUUCGGGCUUUCCAAUCGUACGCCCACUUCUUUUCAUCGUCGACAGUCCAUUGUGCCUCUGGUUUUGGUACAAUGUUGUCUUCCGAGUUGGUUAUAGUAAUCUCAAAAGGACUGUCACAGAUGGCAACCCAUACAGUCCUUUCUAUGGAAUUUAUGUGUACUCACAUGCAGUCUUUCCAAUAGUCAUAAUUUUCACUGUUGAAAACUGGAGCUCUAUUGUAAGCCCCAUUUGGUUCAGAAGUCAUAUCGUUACGAGAAGAUACAUAGCACUAGCGAAUCAGACUCUGAUUCCACUUGUUAGACGGUGUGGCAGGUGAUCGAGAGGGGGGGUGAAUAGAUCGUCACAAAAAAAUCACGGAUUUUAAAAUUUUUAAUUGAUUUUUAAAGGCUAGCGGAAAAGCGCAGUCCCGAAUCGACUUCCGCUAUUCUGAACCGACUACUAGAAAACCAGACAUGCAAUAAACUGAUGGAUAACAAUAUGCUGAUAACAAAUAAACACGCUUGGAUAAUCGUUUUAAUGAAAUUCACAAACAGCACUAUAUUCCAAUGAACAAAAACAAGCAUAACACUUUUAUCAAACAGUUGGUGUGCAAUGUUUAAUAAUCCUUAUUGUCAAUGGAGUUGUCAAAGCAAUUUUCUCAAAUCAAAACACUAAAACAGUUUUUCAAUUAUGCAGAUUUUUUUUGCCAAUGUAGGAUCAUUCAACAGAAAAAUUAACACCACAAUUGAAUGAUAAACUUACUGAAAAAGUAAAGAGAUCAAGGAUAGAAAAUUGUAUGCAGAGAGUUUGGUAAGGAAGUUUCCCACUAUCGUCCUCGCGUGUGGGUACGUCUCCCCUCAAUUUCGAAAUCGAAAUUGGGAUCUUAUUUCCAAUAAUGUUGCAAAUGUUUACAAGGUUACAACACAAAUAACAAACACCAAUCCCACUGAUUAUGUUGAAUUUGUCUUAACCCUGCUUGAUUCGAUCUGAUUAAGUCUUGAACCUCAAAAUCAACGACCAAUCCUCUGCUCCACUACUUGUUUGCGAAAUAUCCCAGAUUUCCAAACCCCUUCGCUACGGCUGAAUUCGAUCCACUUGACUUUGAUGAAAACCCCCCAAGAAACGAUCCGUUCUUGAUGGAAAACCUUCCGGUUUUUCAGAGAAACCCCCUUUAUAUCCCUUCAACCCAGCUUCGAUUACAAAUCCUACAGCUGAACGUUAUCUCAAAGAUCUCUUGAUGCAAUGCAUAAUGAUUAUUAUGUUUCAAUGUGAUUGAAUGUGAAAAGAUGAUUUGAGAAGAUGAUGAAGACAAAGUAUCUUUCAGGUUUCUUGCUCACACAAAAAAUGCUCUCAAAAUGUUUUCAUGUGUCGUGUAAAAAGAAUAAUGUUUUACUACUUAUAACAGAGUGAAAACAGAAAAUAACAGAAAAUUUUAGUUGGAUGAGUCGAUACAUACGAUGCAUGAGUCGAUACAUGUGUGCAAAAAUUGACUCAUGAGUCGACACAUGACCUAAUUGGGCGAUACAUGAGGUAACAAAAACGUUUUCCAGAAUGAAUGUAUCAUGAUGUAUCAAUACAUGGGGUAUGGGUCGAUCCAUACUGGGUUGAAAAACAAUUUUUCACAAUUUUAAUAUAGCAUGAGUCGAUACAUGAGUAAAUGGGUCGAUACAUGUUUGGUAGAAAACAUCAAACAAAAAGGUUGAAUUGCCAUGUAUCGAUACAACCACCAAUGGGUCGAUACAUGAUGAAGGAAAAUUGAUUUUUGAGAAAACCAAUUACACGUGUAUUGAUACAUCACCAUAUGAGUCGAUACAUGCUGAACCAAAAUUGAAUUUCAGAAACGCAAUUUAGACAUGUAUCGAUAAACCAACUCAUGCGUCGAUCCAAAACAUCAAAAUACGCAAAAAUGAUAUUUUAGUGAUGCAAAAAUCUUCUCAAUUGUUAUUUUAAUGAUAUGUCAUGCUAGAGAUCUUUUUGAAAUGAUUUUCAAGUACAUUUCUAUCACAAACUUUGACAUCACUCAAAAACUCAUAAUAUGGGAUAGCACUCAGAGUUGUCACACAAUGGAGUGUAGAGGAUCCGAAAAAGAUAGGGUGAGAGGUAUUAUGCUUCUAUGGAAUAAAUAAAUAUAGGUGACCUUUUAUUCUUUCUCUUUGAACCAUAUUAGUGAAAUUUUAACGAUAGUGAGGAAGACCAACCUUGGAGAUUUGUUGGAAUCUACAGAUUCCCAGAAGAACAUACAAGAAGAAAACCUGGAGUCUUAUUCAAAACAUUGAGAAUGAGGUCGGAGAUAAAUGGUUGUGCUUCGGGGACUUUAACGACAUAAUUUGAGAAUGAGAAACAAGGAAGAAAGUAGAACGUCGAGCCAAUUCCUUUGGGGUAGACAAGCUAUAGAUUCACGCGGAUUGCAUGAUUUGGGAUUUGAAGGUUACCCUUUCAUGUGGUCUAGUGGCAAAUCUGGUGAGGCUAAUAUCCAGUGCAAAUUAGAUAAGCUUUGGAAACUUCAUGUCUCAUUAAUAGACUUGCACCUAUCAGGAUUCUUCAUCUCCCAAGGUAUGGCUGAGAUCACGAUGUGGUAAUAAUUUGCCUAGAAUUCAAUAUGAAAAAUAACAACAGAAAACAAAGGCAACUUUUUCAAUUUGAAGAGGAGUGGACAAGGGAUAACAAAUGCGAGAACAUGGUAAGACAUUGUUGGAAUAGUACUAGUAGUAGAGGAGAAAAAAGUUAAGAUCAAUUCAAGCUUUGGGAGACGUCUUCAAGGAGUACAUUUCUUGUGGGGUUCCUCCAAAGAUGACGAGAAGAUUCAUUAGAUGAGUUGGAACAAAUUUUCUCAGAUAAAAGGUGUGAGGCAUGGGAUUUCGAGGUAUUGAAGAUUUUAACCUCAGUCUAUUAGGAAAGAAUUUAUGGAGACUUUUAACCGACGACCCUUCUUUAUUGGAAAGAGUUUUCUAAGAGAAUGUAUUAUCCAAAGAGUACUCUUAGAGAAGCAAAGUUGGGUUUUGCCUCAAGUUAUGCUUGGAGGAGUAUCUUGGGCUCCAAAGAUCUAGUGGAGAAAAGUUGGAGGUGGAGGAUUGGUAAUGGAGUCACAAUAAAAGUCUGGCAGGAUAAUUUACUGCCCAAUGGUGCAGGAUUUAAAAUUCAUGGACCAGUUUGGGGUCCUUACAAAGAUGCAUUUGUGAGUGAGCUUAUUGAUCAAGACAUGUGUUGUUGGAAAAAAAAAACAUCAUCAAAGCAUGCUUCGAUCCCAUAGAAGGUUCCCGAAUUACUAGUAUCUCACUUUCUUGGAGAAGGCCGGAAGAUAAAUUCAUUUGGCACAAUGAAAAAGAUGGGGGAAUAUUCUGUGAAAAUGGACUAUCACAUACUUGGAAACAAAAGGCGUGCUGCUACAUCCUGACCAUCGAGCCAUAAUCAAAAGAAGAUGUGGAAAAAGAUUUGGACAACUAUUAUUCAUAACAGAAUCAAAAACUUCUUGUGGAGACUGGAGAAGAACAUCCUCCCCACCAGAGCGAACUUGAUGAAAAAGGGGAUCAAGACCACCCCUGAAUGCCUCCUAUGCCACAGCAACACUGAAAUAGUUUAAACCUUGUUUCUAAUGCUUUAUCAGUAGUGGACUGUUUAAGCCUUGUUUGUUUUGAUGAUGUGUUAGAACCAAUUUUGGUUGAUUGUUUGUCACUUUUUAAAAGUUCUCAAAACAUUGUUGCCAUGUAUUUGAACAGUUCUCUAAAACAUGGGAGGGUUGUGUCCCUAUGUUCAAAAUGUUUCCAUUGUAAUCGUUGUUUCGUUUUGACAAUGUGUUAUCUGAUAUCUGAAUGUGCAUUUUGAAAUUGAUGAUAAUACACUAAAAUAUAAAAAUCUAUCAUAGAAUAUUAAUAUAAAAUUAAAAUAAUGUUUAUUCUUUUUUGAGAAAAAAGAAUAUACACUGACAUUUUUACACUGUCAACCAAUGAGACUCGUGUAUCCCGCCACAUCACACUUUUAUUUUUAAAAUACUGUUAUGAUUUGACAAUAUAAAAUGUUUUGAUUGGAUAUUAGUGUAUUGACAAUAUAAAAUAUUUUGAUUGGAUGUCAGUGUAAUAUUUCUUUACACUGACGGUGCACUACCUUUAACCUCUUCUUUUUAUCAAAAAAAAUAGUUUGAAAAUUUGAUGGCUUUAAUACACCCCAUUAUUAUAAUAUUGUAUGAAAAAAAUCCUUAAAACUAACGGAGAUUAUCUAAGUGUUUUAUUUUUCUUCAUAGGAAAAAUCAUAUUCUAGUGCCUAUCUGAAUUAUUUCUAUGCAACUACAAAAUCACAAAAAUAUGAAAAACCAAAACAGUUCAUUCAGCGCGAGGGCCCAGAAUAUAAAAAAUUCAAAAUUGUGUGAAAAGAAAAAGGGCCCAACCGGGUUCGAACCGGUGACCUCUUGAUCUGCAGUCAAAUGCUCUACCACUGAGCUAUGGACCCUUGGUGAUUGUAAUUGAAUAAAAGAAAUCUAAACUAUAAUAGUACGCUUUCAAUAUGUUCAACGUGAAACUUAGAUACACCCAUCAUCGUUAUAUAAAAUUUGCAUCAAAUCCUAAGAGGUUUUGGUAAGAAUUAUUUAAAAAGUCAUAUUGUACGGUUUAAGAAACUUUCUAAUUUUUUAAGCAUAAAUAAACAUAAUUAAAUCACUGAACAUAUUUUGUUUACAAAUGCGUAUAUUGACAAAAAUUUAUAUAUACAGUAUGUACAAACAAAUGAAGAAUUUUCUCAAACUCUCCCUUUACUAGAGUUAUUUAAUUAUUUCUAUUUCGCUGUUAUUUAUCUUAUAUUUUAGGAUUAAUUUGUUAUGAGUUACUUACCCACUAAUUCUUUAGUUCAUAGUAUGUAUUUAUAUUAUAAUCGGUCAAUGAAUAUUGGCUGUAUAUUGUCUACGUUUCAAAAUGAUUUUUGUUUAAGUUUUUUACACACAAAUUAAAAAAUGUAAUAAGUAUAUUUUUAUUAAAUUAAUCAGAUUAAUAUGUUGAAAAUUUUGCACAUACUAAUUAUUAAGAGAUACAAUUUGAAAAAUAAUAAUUAUUUUUUCUAUAUUAAAAAAUGAAAAUGACCUUAAUUUUAAGUUAAAUUUUAUUUGUUAAAGGGACGAUUAUUUUGAAACGGAAAGAGUAUUAUUGUUUUAGAGUAGAAAACUUGUUCAUUAUGGAACCAUAAUGUGCACCAAUCAACCACAAUACCUUCUAUUAAAGUGCUUCUCAUUUUAUAAAAUUUGUAAUUAUUCCGUGUUAAAUAAAUCGAUAAAAAGUUAUUGAAAUUGAAAAUUUUAAAAUUUGUUAAAGUUUGGAUUUGAUAAUUACUAUUUACUAAAGUAGUAAAAUCUAUUAAAGUUUGUAAUUUCAACUUAUGAAAUUGAAUUAUGAUAUAUAUGUUAUGUGAAUUAUUUUUGUUUGAUGAAAUUUAUUUUCAUGACUUACAUAUACUUCUGGAUUUGGAGUUUAGAAUCCUGAGAUGUGAAAUUUUGAGAAUUUUAUCACGGAGGAUAUGGAAUUCGAGAUUCCCACAAAUGAAGAAUCUCGUGAGGAAGGUUCUCCACGAAUUGUUGAAACAUAAAUCGAAAGUUCGUCACAGACUAUUGAAAAAACAACAUGAACUUAGAAUAAGUAAGAGAGUCUGAAAGACUAAGGAUCUAGAACCGAACAAAAUCGAUAAUCAAUUUAUUUCUAUUAUCUAGUAGAAGGAAAUAAUGAGAAUUUUGUUCGUAAAGUUCAUAUUAUGCUUCAAGUGGAAGAUGAUCUUAAGACUUAUACAGAAGUAACAGCUUCAAAGGACUCCUUUUUUUAUAAGGAUGAUAUCUAAGAUGAAAUGGAUCCAAUAAUCUCAAACAAUACUUGGGAACUUGCUGAUCUACCUAAAGAAUUAGGACUCAUUGAAUGCUAGUGGGUGUUUAGAAGGAAGUAUCAUAGUGAUGGUACACUAAACACCUACAAGUAUAGAUUAGUAACCAAGAGUUUUAGAUAAAAAUAAGGUAUUGAUUAUUUCAACACAUAUGCAUCGGUAGCAAGGAUGGCGAUAAUUAAAGUAUUGUUUGCAUUAGUUUCUUUGCAUGACCUUAUAGUUCAUCAAAUGGAUGUCAAAACGACAUUUCAAAAUGGAGAUCUCAACGAGAAGAUUUACAUGAAGUGACCUUAAGGUUAUGUACUUCUUGGUAAUGAACAAAAGGUGUGUAAGCUUGUCAGAUCCUUGUAUGGAUUAAAAAACAAGCACUUAAACAAUGACAUCAAAAGUUUGACUUUGUCAUUGCAAGAUUCACCAAUUAAAAUGGAGACACGCAAUUUGGGGGAAGACUUUUCAAUCAUUUUCAAAACAAAAACUCAAAGAGUUUGUCAUCAUCAAAAAAGGGAAGAUUGUGAAGAAUAUGUCUUAUAUAUAGUUUAGUUUUGAUGAAGACAAAGAUAAUCAAAGAAGAAAAUGAUCAAAAGUGUCAUGCACAUUGUAACAACCCAAUUUUAGUAUUUAUUUAUUAUACUAUUAUUAUUAUAUUUUAUUUUAAUUAUGUGGAGUGUUAAUUAAUUAAUUGGUUGUUAGGUAGUAUAAUAAUUGAUUAUAUUAAUUAAUUUUGGACUGUGUAAUUAAUUAUUUAGUUGAUAUGAGAAUUAAUUAAAUAAUUGUAUUAAUUAACUUAGUGUGUAUGUGGGGUUAGUUUAAUUUAAUUGAACUAAUUAGAGAUAUUUAAAUAUUAGUCUUAUUGGCCUAUUAAUUAAAUUAGAAGUAUAUCAUGCUUUAAGCCCAAAUAGAAUACUAGUAUAUAAGAGGGGAGGAGAGGGGAAUUAGGAUUACAUUGAUCAUUUGAGGCAAAGAAGAAAGAGGAGAGGAAAAAAUAAGAGAAGAGCUAGGGUUCCAGAAAUUGAAGGUAAUGGGGGGAUCUAUUAUUAUGGUUAGUAUGAUCGGGUUAUUAGAUAUGUUUUAGGUUAAAAUCCCUAAUUUUGUAUGGUUGUUUUGAAUUGUUAGGUUUGAUGAGUACUCUUGAUUGUGGUGAUUUAAUUGUGUUAAAAAUGAAAAUAACGUUAUAUAAUUAGGGUAUUGUAUGAGUUAUAAAUUUCUGAAACAUUUGCCUUUUUACGGAAUCGAAAUCGGAGGUCCGAAAGUCCUCCAACGAUGAAAACCGCAAAAAAUUCUGCAUUCUGUCCGUCGCAAUCGCGAGCACUUUUUAUGUUUUUUCGGUCGAAAUCGUUUUGGUCAUAACUUUUGAUCCGUAAGGCAAAUCAAGUGCCGUUUGAAGCGUUGGAUAGUUGAAACAGAAGGCUAUAACUUUGUUUCAGGAAUAAAAUAUUUUGGAGAUUAUUUCAUGGACGUUUUUGGGGUUGAAGAAGAUGAAAAUUAUGUUGGAAAAUUUAGAAACAACAAUUUUUUAGUAAUGCCUUCGUGCGCGGUUUUAUUCAUAACUUUCAACUCGUGAAUCAUUUUGGGUUGGGUUUAAAGCAUUAGAAAGGUGACCUCGAAUAGAUUAUAUGUGAAUGAUAUUAUUGUUAUGAAUGUGUAUAUAUACCAUUGGCUGGAUUGUGAAUGAUAUAUGUUUAUGAAGUGUAUAUGUCCAUUGGUGAUGUGUGAAUGAUAUAGUGUUAUGAAUGUGUAUAUGUACCAUGGGUUUGGAUUGUGAAUGAAUAAUUGUUAUGAAUGUUAAUAUGUUCCAUUUGUGGAUAAUCAUAGUUGAUUAUGUGAAUGUGUGAAUGUUAAGUAGUAGAGAUGAUCGUUAAUUGCACUAUGUGUUGGUAUUUGCACAGUUCAUUCAUGGCUGGUCGGCUUCAUGAUGGAUAUCGGUGAAACUGUGGGAUACACUAGACGGUGAUCCGUUAAUUGGAAUUAGACGUAGGCACACGUUGUCACCUUAUUGGAUAGGCGUGGUGAUAGACGGUGAUAACUUAAUUGGAAAUAGCGUAGCACACAGUUGAUCCUUAAUUGGAAAUAGGCCGUGGUAGAUAGACGGUUGAUGCCUUAAUUGGAAUGACGUUAGCACAGCGUUGAUGCUUAAUUGGAAAUUAGGCAGUGGUAGAUAGACAAUGUCGCUUAAUGGAAAUAGACUCGUAGCACACGUUGAAUCCUAAUUGGAAAUAGCGUGUAGAUGUAGCACAUGUUAAUCCCUUAAUGGGAAAGAAGGUGUGGUAGAUGAUACACACGUUAUCUUCUUAAUUGAAAUAGGCAUGGUAGUGCUUUGAUCUUGUCCGUGAUCCGGAAGCGUGGCUUGAUUCUAGAUACUGAAUCGGAAAGGGUGAAACUUUGGGUUCACAUUGAGGUACGCAUGCAUAGAGUCACAUGUCUUGCAUUGAGUCACAUUAGAGUCAUGUGAUAAUUGAGUGUAUGCAUUGUUGUGAUUGUGAUGUGUGUAUGAGAUAUGGUAAUUGAAUUUGGUGAUGUUUAAGUACAUAACUUGAUGUGAUUGUGAUGUGUGUAUGAGAUAUGGUAAUUGAAUUUGGUGAUGUUUGAAUACAUAAUUUGGCAAAAUAUGUGAUUAUGUGAUCGUUGUAGUUGUGUGUAUAUUUAUGAAUAUAAUAUUGGAUUUGAAUAUUAUACUCCUUGCAUUUUGAUGGAUGUUUGGAAUAUGUGAAAUAAAUGUUGGUUAGUAUUAUUUAUAUGGUUAUACAAGGUGUGAUGAAAUCCGUUAAUUGUUGAUUUAAUCAUUGUGCUUUAUUAUACUUCUCCAUAAUGAUUUGAAUUCGCACCCUUUCUGUUUGAAUGUUACCUUUACAUGGGUAUCGUGCAGAUACUCCAGAGUAGUAUUGCUGAAGUAAGUGGACGGUAGCUCGCUCGAGAUUAGCCGGAGAGUUUCCGUAUUUUAGUUUGAAGACUGUUUGAAUGUUACCUUUACAUGGGUAUCGUGCAGAUACUCCAGAGUAGUAUUGCUGAAGUAAGUGGACGGUAGCUCGCUCGAGAUUAGCCGGAGAGUUUCCGUAUUUUAGUUUGAAGACUAAGUAGUGAGUCAAUGCUCUGGUCAUGUAACACUGGGUAGAUUAGUCGUAUUGAACUCAUAUCUUAUUUGGAUAUGCAUUAUGUUAUUACUUGAUUUAUUUUAUCUUGAGGUGAUUAUUGAGAGAUGAUCAUGGUAUGGGAUAUGGAUCAUGUUAUGAAAUACAUGAGUAUUCAUUAUUUUCCGCUGCGAACGCAUAUGCUUGAAUAUUCAUGAUAAGUGAGAUGUGUUAUUUUAAAUGAACAGGUGUAUUAUAUAUUGAUGAUGAAUGAGGUUGAUUUUUGAAAGCUUUUAGUUUUUGAAAACGUCGAUGUGACGCCCUUUUGUUUAUAUGCGUGCUUAUUUACUCUGAUUAUAUGUUGAAUAUUUUAGGAUAGAAAAAGGGGUGUUACACACAUCAAUGAUGAAGUUGAUCAAGAAGGUUUGAACAUAGAAAUUCAAGUGAAGAUUUGAGACUAGUGAACAUAACUAAGGUGCUAAUUGCAAUUUAUACUAUACUACUUUUAAAUUGUUCAUAAUUUCAUCUCUCACUUCAUCUAAAAACCUUUUUGUAUCAUCAUGCAUGAUUAUCUAAAAACCCUUUUCAUUUAAUUCUUGUUACAAGUGUUUACACACAAAGUUGUGUGAGAAUAUUGUGAUAUUCAUUUGUUUUCAUAUUGAUUAUAUGAUUGACCAUUAGCAACGAGAUGAAUGAAAUUUUAGAAACAAAAAGGUUUCUAACUUCCAAAUAUCAAGAUGAAAGAUCUUAUACUAGUUGACACAAUUUUUGGGUCAAAUUAAAGAGAAAUAUUGGGGUUAUGAACUUAGUCAAACACACUAUAUUGAGAAAAUGCUUGAUAAGUUCAAAUACUUACGCUUUAAGGAAAUGACCACUCCAUUUAAUCCUAGUGUCAAACUUCAAAACAAUGAUGGAAGAGUUGUGGCUCAAUUGGAAUAUGCAGUUGCAUGCAAUGUACUAGACCCGGCGUAGCAUUUGCAAUUAGUAAAAUUAGUAAAUUUAAUAAAAAUCCAGAUGGUGAGCACUGGAAGGUCAUCAUUGGGAUUUUCGGCUAUCUUAUGAAAACCAAAAAACUUGGUCUCAUUAUUGUAGGUUUACUUACAUAUUAGAAGGAUAUACCUAUGCAAAUUAAAUAUUUAGUGUUAUAAAUCUGUAUUUGGGUGGAUAUUUACACUAGUCGGAGGUGCAAUUUCUUGGAAGAGCAAGAAAUAAAUGUGGAUCACUCUCUCAACCUUAGAAUCAGAGUUCAAGGUUCUUGUUUCCACUGCUACAUAAGCUUAAUGGUUGAUGGAUCUUCUGUUGAAAGUUUCAUUAGCUAAAGAUAAUGUUUCAAAGAUGUUUAUGCAUUGCGGUAGGCAAAACACUUUGCCUAGAGCAUACAAAAAGUGUAUAACAGAAAGUCUAGGCAAGUAGGGUCUAGCCAUUCUUUCGAUUAGACUUUCAUUAUCCUUACUAAGGUUAAGUUCAAAUCAAAAUACAUUCUUUCGUAAGAAAAUUGAUUACAUAUAUAAUUAUUUCAUUCACAUAUAUAGAAUCAAGCUAUAAUUUAUUUGAUCCAUUUACUAAACCACUGGUCAGAGAUUUAGUAAAGACUACCUCAAAAGGUAUGGGAUUGAAACUCCUUAAAUAAGUGUUCCGGCAAUUGUAGUAACCCAAUCUGAAGUUAACAAAUCUUAACCUAAGAUUCAAUGGGUAAUAACAAGUCGUUGAUUUAGAUGUUUGUGCAACAUUCUAUGAGAAUGUUAACUAUUACAUAUUGAGGGUUGAGUUUUUUUUCAAACUCUUAAUGAAGUUCUAUAUCAAGGAUAUGUAUCUCAAUAAAUAGAUACAAAAUAAACUUCACCUAUAUGAAUUUCGAGAUGGUUUUGUCUCAAAGUGAGAAUUGGAGUAUCUCUCAUGCAAAAUUCACAAAAAUAGAGAAAACACAUGGUUUCGUCUCAAAGAGAGAUGUAUGUGAAGAACCACUAGAGAGUGUAUGUAAGGUAACGUCGGUUUAAUCACAAAGGAUAACGGUUCAAAGCAUUUCUACCUAACAUUCUGAUUAGACUUUGCAUUAUCCUUACUAAGGUUAAGUUCAAAUCGAAAGAUACUUAACUGUGUUAAUAUUAUUUGUUUAUCUUUUUCUAGAGUUGGUCUUGUCAUUAUUAGAACAAGUGGGGGAUCGUUGUAAAUUAUUAAAAAAUAAUAAUCUUAAGUGCAUUCCAAAAUGACAAGAAAAUAUGGAAGUGAGAGUUAAUUUUUUUAAUUCAGAAAUAGACAACACUUGUGAAGUGCUGUAGUAGGCGGUUCAUAUUUUAAAUUCAUAAAUAGGCAACACGUCGUAAAGUGUUGCAAAAUGCGAAACAGUGUAACCUUUAAAAAAUGUUAUUGUAUGCGAACCAGAGCAACAUUUAACAAAAGUGUUGUUGAAAGUGUGUUUUCAUCAAGGAUCGCCUAUAAAUUGAAUAUUCUGGAUUCAGAAAAGCAUAUUCUCUUCAAACAAAAUUUCGAAUUUUAUCUUCCCUACAUUCGAAUUUUCAUCAAUCUUGUGUAAACUCGAGUAUAGACUGAAUUAUCCUGGAUAUUACUACAUACAAACUCUAGAACAAUUUAAAAAUGCUUAAAAUACUAUAAGAAAAGUGAUUUAUUCACGAUUCUAAUUUCGGUUCGUUUGAUUUAAAUAAAUUUUCUAACACAAAGUUCACUCAAACCGAACAGUUUUAAUUUACUCAGAAUCAAACCGAAUCAAAAUUAUUGGUUUGAUAUAUCGUUUAGAAAUUUUAAACUGUACCGAACUGUUAUGAUACAAUUUUUUUCAAACGGUACCAUUUGUUAAAAGAACGUUAAACUAUUUUUUUAAUUUAAAAAAAAAAAUUAAACUAUUUUUCAUUUUCAAUUCAAGUUCAGUUUUUUAACACCCCUAAGUAGAGAUUUUGCCACUAGAUAUAUAUUAACACCCCUAAGUAGAGAUUUUGCCACUAGAUAUAUAUAUAUAUUGUCACCGAUUUUUUUUAAUUUUACUUAUCAGGGGAAAGUUAUGCUAAUCAAUUUAUUUUUUAUUUUACAUAUCAAAGGACUUUAAAAAACGGUAGUCAUUUUUUACUGAUAAUUAAUUUAUUUUUUAUUUUAUGAGGACUUUACAAAACGCUAGUCAUUUUUUAUUUUUGUAGACAUUGAAUUUUUUUAAUUUUGUAGACAUUGAAAAAAAAAUCCGUUGAUUAAAUUAAAAUUAUUUAGUUUUUAUUUUAUAUAUCUUUUCUGAUAAUCAAUUUUUUUACACUUUUUAACUUUUAUUUUGCAUAUCAAAAAACUUUGCAAAAAAGUUUCAGAAAUCAUUUUAAAAAUAUUUAACUUUUAUUUUAUUUUUCAAAAACUUUACAAAACAAGUCAGUUUUUUAUAUUAAAUUUUCUAAUUUUUAAUAAAUUAUUUAUAUGAGGGCAUCUUAGUAAAAAAAAAAUAUAACGGAAGCGUAGGAGCAUAAAUGAUUGAGUAUCUGACAAAAUUUUCCUCUUAUUAUCCCUAAACUUAAGUUUCAAAACGAAUCUUCCUUUUAAACACAGAUUGAGUGUUAAAUAUUAUUACAAUGUACCCUUCAAUCCCUCCCACUCCAUUGGAUAGUGCUAAUAUGUUUCACUGAAGACAAAUAAAAUACUUGCAACAAAAAUUUAUUUAGUUGACACAUAACUGAAGACAAAUCACACUACCGUUAUCUAGAUCAGACAUUGUAGUAAUCCACCCAGACUAUCCCCGAGACCAUAUUAUAUAUGUAUUGGAGUAUUAAGGAACAUUUUAAUAAAAAUAACAAUGAUUUCCACUAAAUUCACUAAAUAGAAAAAGCGAAAAGCAUACUCCCCCGUUCCACAUCAAGUGUCAUUUUCUUGAAAAAAUAUUAUUCCUUUUUAAUUGCCACUUGAGAAAUUCAAUGAACCUAAAAAAAUGCAGUUGCUUAUAACAGUGAUCUAAAGGUUGGAUACAAAUUGGAGUACUAAUUAGAAAGCUAAAAAAUAAAGUGAAUUUCACAUUCCAAUUGGAGGUUUUUAUAAACAAUGAAAAAAGGAAUCUUGGCAAAAUCUAAAACAAAGAAAUCCACGCAAAGGAAACACUAAAAAAAACAUAGUACAUACUGAACGAAAUGGGUAUCUAAAACUGGUUGAAUUUGAAAUAUAACCUAGACAUACUGGCAUAAAUAUAGAUAAUCAAAUUCAUCAAUACAACAAGUGAAGGUAGUAUUAUUGCCAGUGAAAAAAACAAGACAGUAAUAGCAGAUAGCUUGAUGAUAUUGAAGGGCAGGGGCUCAUGUUUAAAUAAAUGUAAUGGAUGAGAGAGAGAGAGAGAGAGAGAGAGAGAGAGCUCAAGUGAUUAUAAUACUGCAAUUCUGUAAAGAAAGGAAAUUGCCAAAGAAGCACACAAGCAAGUGUUUCAAGGAGAAACACAGUGGGUGUUGAGGAGUUGAAUACGCGCUCAGAAGAGUUACAACAAACUUACAAACUUAGAGAAUGGCCAAAACAGCCUCACAUGUGAAUCUAUUCAUUGUUUCUCACCAAUCAUUAGCAUUUGUCAUUACAUUCAAACUUUACACACAAUCUUGGGAAUAUCAAUUCCCACAAAUUAAUUAUGAACCCUAACUAAAUUAUAUAUAUUAGUGUUAGUAUUAUGUUUUAUAAACCUUCAACCUCAUUACUAUGUACCAAAACAAACCAGCAGAGAGGAUAAGUACACAACUGGGUUAAUCAAAGCGUAUUAGGUUUUAUAAACCUUCAACCUCAACAAAUAUACUUAAAUAACAGACAAAAUCUAUGAUUUAAUAUUAGUGAAACAUUCAAACAAAACAGUGAAAGAAGACAGAAUAAUGUAAAUUUACUUGCCAAAUCCUCAAAUGGACACAAGUGAUAACAAAACUAAAAAUUUGUAGAAAAUAUUCAGAUAGCUAAAGGUACCACAGCAAAAAUUGACUGAAUUAUAACACAAGUGAUAACAAAACUAAAAAUUUGUAGAAAAUAUUCAGAUAGCUAAAGGUACCACAGCAAAAAUUGACUGAAUUAUAUUAAAACAGAACCUAAUCAAACAAGCUAAAUCCCAUGUCAUCAUCACUCUCUUCUUUGGGUUCCUCCUGUAAAAUUGAAACAACAACUCAAUUAGUUUAAAACUAAAUUAGAAAAACAAAUUGCCAAAAAAAAAUAUCACAUGGUUUUCACAAAUAAGCUACCUUUUUCUCCUCGACUACGGGCGCAGCGGCAGCUGCACCACCGGCAGCAGCAACUGGGGCAGCGGCAACAGCUCCUGGGGCUCCACUACCAGCAGCACUAGCAAUCAAAUCCUUAAUAUUUUUCUUCUCAGCAAGUUUAACAAAUAGGCUGGGCCAGUAUGAUUCGACAUCAACCUUAGCACUUUUCAACAAAGUGGUGAUAUUGUCAGCCUAUUUACAGCAAGUCAAGGUGCAACACAUCGUACUCAAAAUCAAACAAAAUGAAAAACCAAAUCAAACCUCUUGAAAAACCCUAAUUGAGUAAAUCUAUUUAAAAAUAACAUGAAUUCAACAACACUAAUUGAUUUCAAAAACCCUAAUUGCGUAAAUUGAACUAUAAACACUAGCUAGAAUUAACAGAAAACUAAGAUAAUAAAGAAGGAUACAGUGACGGCAAUUUUAUCAUCUUCGAGGAUGAGAAGUGCGUAUGAGCAAGCAGUUUCUCCAAGCGACAUUUUCACACUACAAAUCAAAAAAAAUCACGAGAGAAUGCGAAUCAAGAUCUGAGAAAAACGAUAGUUGAGUAACAAAAACAGAAGCAUAAUCGAAACCGAGAACUGUUACCGGAAAUGGAAUGAAACGAGAACGGAGACGACGGGAGAGUGAAGAGAAUUCUGCAGCGCCGUAAAUGUAUUGAUUUUAGGGUUUGAGGGUAUAAAAGGUAGUGCCAAUGGUAGUUCUUGGGCUUCUCCAGUUUUGGCCCAUUUAAAAACUAUAGAUAUGUAGCGGCAGAAGAGGUGUAGGUGGCAACUAUGCUUAUCUACUUAGAAUCUAUUUAGUCUUACAAAAACCAAUAACUUACAAAUAAUUUAAUUUAAUUUUGUGGUAUUUACUUUUUAUAAAAAAUGAAAAUAAUUAUAGUAUAUUAAUUAUAAUUUUAUACAAUUUUAUGUUACUAAAACUAUUUUAUAUUUUAUUGUUUUCAAGUUGUUUUUUUUUAUAGAAAUGAAUCAUUAAAUAGUGAUGUGGAAUACAUGAGACAACUUUUUGUAAUUAACCCAUUAAUUAUUUUUUUAUAUCCUAUAAAUAAAUAAAUAAAAUAAUUAUAAUUAUUUAUAAAAAUGGGAUUUUUGUUAUUAAUUGAUAAUAAAAUAUUUUUACAUUGUCAACCAAUCACAGACGUGUAUUCCGCCAAGUCACACGUUUAAUUUUAAAAUACUGAUAUGAUAUGGUAUAAUGUUAUAAUUUUAUUGGAUGAUGGUCUAAAACUAAUUUACACUAACAGUCCACUACCUUUAAUCUCUUAAAAAUAUUCAUUUUGAUCCUUUAACUUUAAACAAUAAAUUUCAUUUGUUCUAUCGGAAAUUUCAAAAUCAGUAUGUUUCGUAAAUUAUCAAAUAUAUGUAAUUUUGUACCGUGAACUUAAAAAAAAAAUCGGUAUUUCUGAAAACUUUGUCUUCAAAAAUUUUACAAUUUGUAGUACAAUUGAUCUGCAUUUCCCUUGAAAUUUCAGAAUUUUCGAUACUUAUAAAAAAAAAUCACAUGAAUUUUAGAAUUUAUGGUGAAAUUAGAAAACAAAUUAAAAUUUCAGGAACUAAUCUUAUUUUUCUCCCCGUUUUUUGCAGUGAAAUAUAAAGUCAGGGACGAUAUUAUUGCAGACAGAGCGAUAGAUAAAGCGGAAGAUCAAGCUAAGACUGUUGAGGUUGAGUCUUCCCAGAUACAGGUUGGACGAGUGGUUCCAACUGGUUCACACCAUAAAUAAUUGGUUGAGCAGGGCAAUUUCGCGCAUCCAAUAGCACCCGACGUAGAGCGGUGAGAUUAGUCGAGCACCCCAGAGAAAAUGUUAAGGUUGUUCAUGCUCAUGAUGUGCUGGUUUAGGAUGUCCAUGACCCAGCAAUCGAGAUAGAUGCGACACAUGUUGGUGUUAAGGUUGCUGAUUAGGUGGCUGUAACACCUCAAAAUUUACCCUCCUCUCUUGGGACUAGCUUAACAUAUUGCAUAUCAUUGUUUAGGUCAUUAGGCAUUGCAUAUUGCAUAUCAUGGGGAAACAUUGUGCAAGUCAUCCUCCUAGGUCUUGGUCAGAAGAUAAAGAGGUCAAGAUUCAAGCUGAGGGUUUCAUUGGACUGAUCAUUAACUAUCUGAGGGUGGUGGUUCAAAUUAGGGUUUCAUGAUUUCUCAAGGAGAUUGGUCUUGAUCUUGGUUGAAAUGAUACAUCAUCAUCAUCAUGGUCUUGUUAUCAUCCAGAAGAUUCAAGAGAUUGAUCAGAUACCUUGAGAUUAGGGUUUUGACCACUGGUCAACCCUAAUCAGCUGAAUCAUCUGCAUUGGGCCAAUCAGGGCAUGGCAAGGAGGUGGGGUCUACAAUGGAUAUGGGGAUCAUUUCAUGAUUGUAUUGAGCUUAUGGAAGCUAGGGGCUCAUCAUUGAGCCAUUUCAUCAGGAGUUUGAGGCUCAACUUGAUCAGUGCACAGCCAAAUUCAUCUAUCAAUUAGAAAAGUCAAUUGUGGUCAACUGUGCUUGAUUUUAUGGAUUUGGAGGUGGGAGAGAGUUGGAUACACUUCAUUCAUGUUGAAACAAGUUUCAUUUGGCAUUUCAAACAUCAAGAAUGAAGAAAAUAAAAUCAGGAGAAAAGUUUCCAAAAAAAGAAAGUGACUUGUAAUGAAAGUUUCCAAAAAUGGAAAGUUUUUCACCUCAAAAUUACAUGUCCAAAAAAGCUUCAAAUGAAAUUUUGUUCAACAUGAAAGUUGUAGAUCUUGCUCUCACCUUUCCAAAAAGUCCAAGAACAUGAAAUUCUCAUGUAUGGUUGACAAGUUAUGGUCCAAUCAUUUUCCAAAAAUGCCUAAAAUCAAAGUGGCAUAACUUUCACAUGGAAUGGCCAAAAUGGAUGAUCUUUCUUUGAGAAAACCCCAUUUCACAUGUAAUUUCAUGAUGCAUGGUCAAAAUUCAUAAAAAAUGGUCAAGGCAAAAAGUCAUUUUUUAAGUGGAUUCAUUUGUAUUUUUGGUGUAACAUGGUGAAUUUGAGAAAUACAUGGAAUUUGCACAUGAGGCCUUUGCUAACACACUCCAAAUGCCAAAUAGAAGUUGUUUGAGCUGUCAUUUGCUGUCAUAUUGGUUAAUUGGCAAAAGGACAUUUUUGACAUAGCACUUAAAAAUGCAAUUAUGCUAAUCACUUGAUUUUUGGUAAUUGUGAUUAGCAAAAUGGAUUAAGCAGGGGUAUAUAUCACUAAUCAUAACAGAAAUUGCAAAUCACAUUUCAUUCUCCAAGAAUCAUAACUGUUUUUCCCUCCAUUUUCUCUCCAAAUUCACAAAAAACUUCAUCACACAUUUUUCAACAUUUCUCAUCCAAAUCUUCAUCAAUUUGCAUCAUUCUUCUUGGAUCCAUGUUCUACAAGACUUGUGGAUGAACUGUUUUGCAAAAGCCAUGCCAAAAGCUUGAUAAUCGUGGACUGUGGAAAGCUUGGUCUACUAUGGUGUUUUGCUAAUUCUUGCAACUGGAGUUGUUUUGAGCUAAGGCACGCGUUCUAUUCACCUUCCUGACCAUUAAUCUCCAUCUGUUUUGACUUGUUGGACCUUGAAAGUGCCAAAUCAACAUCUUCCAUCAUCUACAAGGUAAAAUUCGAUUUCCUCCAUUGCAUGAAUUAUGAUGUGGCUUCGGUAGGUCUUUCAAUGUAGAGUAACAUGAUGCUUGUAAUUUGUGAUUUGAUUAAGUAUUGAGAGAGUAAUCGUGAUUUGAAGUUUGAUGUGCAUUUCUAUUUUCGAUCGAUCCCGUUAGCACAGUUAGAAUUAGGAAGAAUCAAUGGCAUAUUCAUGAUCUAGGUGGAGAGACGGUUCUUUUGAUGUAUGGAUUGUAGCAUUUGGUUAGGAAAAGUUCAUGAGCAUUUCUGGAAAUUUUCUGAAAGUUCUUGAUGAAGAACAAGUUGGAGAGCGCGUUUGAUCUUCAAUUUCGCUUGGCCUCGUUUGAAACUUGUUUACCGCCAAGCCUUGCCCAAUCACGCUGCGCCAACCAGUUUAAUGAAACGACCGUGUUUUGGUCGUGUGGCCAGGAAUUACAAAUAUGCCAUUUUCAGCAUUAAUUUAUAUUAUUUCAUUUUUUCUUUUUCAUUUCAAUUUCAUUUUUGAUUACAUGAUCUUUAGAAAUUCAUAUCUAAUUCAUUUUAUGUCCAAAAUUAGUGAGACUUUUUGCAUUGUUCUCCUUGUGAUGUGUAGAUUGUAAUGGUGAUUUUUGUGAUUUUUGUGCACAUGUGGAAAAUUAAAAUGCUUAGGGAUUGAUUGAAUGUGUCACAUUUGUACAUGUCUUGCCAUAUCAUUCAUAAAAUGAUGAUGCUUCCGGAUAAAUUGAUGAAAUUUUUUGUGCUUAUUCUGGACUCUUUGAUGGUGAUUUUGAUGUGUAGUUUGUAAUUUUUGGAUCCCUGGUUGAUGAGAUAUGAAUUUUUGAUUAGAGGUGUGACAAUUUGUGUCACACCAAGCUUGAUGAACUUCAUGAUUUUAUUUGCCUUUCUUAGGGAUGUUGAAUUGAGCCAAAAUUUUGCAUGAAUGAGCAUUUGUAUGUUGAGAUCACAUGAGAAUAUUUCUGGAUUUAUUGAUGGCAUUUCCUAAUUGAUUGGAAUUUUCUCCUC